AUUGAACGCUGGCGGCAGGCCUAACACAUGCAAGUCGAGCGGAUGAAGGGAGCUUGCUCCUGGAUUCAGCGGCGGACGGGUGAGUAAUGCCUAGGAAUCUGCCUGGUAGUGGGGGAUAACGUCCGGAAACGGGCGCUAAUACCGCAUACGUCCUGAGGGAGAAAGUGGGGGAUCUUCGGACCUCACGCUAUCAGAUGAGCCUAGGUCGGAUUAGCUAGUUGGUGGGGUAAAGGCCUACCAAGGCGACGAUCCGUAACUGGUCUGAGAGGAUGAUCAGUCACACUGGAACUGAGACACGGUCCAGACUCCUACGGGAGGCAGCAGUGGGGAAUAUUGGACAAUGGGCGAAAGCCUGAUCCAGCCAUGCCGCGUGUGUGAAGAAGGUCUUCGGAUUGUAAAGCACUUUAAGUGGGGAGGAAGGGCAGUAAGUUAAUACCUUGCUGUUUUGACGUUACCAACAGAAUAAGCACCGGCUAACUU
rnacentral:rRNA from 1 species